rnacentral:hammerhead_ribozyme from 1 species
AUUCAGCCGACGAGUCCCAAAUAGGACGAAAUGCUCGUCCUUCAU